UAAGCAUUUUGUUGUAAGUCGCUCUGGAUAAGAGCAUCUGCUAAAUGCCAUAAA
rfam:Astyanax mexicanus chromosome 18, whole genome shotgun sequence.